GAUGAACGCUGGCGGCGUGCCUAACACAUGCAAGUCGAACGAAGCACUUAUGACAGAUUCUUCGGGUGAAGUCAUAUUUGACUGAGUGGCGGACGGGUGAGUAACGCGUGGGUAACCUGCCUCAUACAGGGGGAUAACAGUUAGAAAUGACUGCUAAUACCGCAUAAGCGCACAGUACUGCAUGGUACAGUGUGAAAAACUCCGGUGGUAUGAGAUGGACCCGCGUCUGAUUAGCUAGUUGGUGGGGUAACGGCCUACCAAGGCGACGAUCAGUUGGCGGCCUGAGAGGGUGACCGGCCACAGUUGGGCUGAAGCACGGCCCAAACUCCUACGGGGGGCAGCAGUGGGGAAUAUUGCACAAUGGGGGAAACCCUGAUGCAGCGACGCCGCGUGAGCGAAGAAGUAUUUCGGUAUGUAAAGCUCUAUCAGCAGGGAAGAAAAUGACGGUACCUGACUAAGAAGCACCGGCUAAAUACGUGCCAGCCGCCGCAGUAAAAC
rnacentral:rRNA from 1 species